AGCUUUGUGCAAUGGCAUUAUAGUACCAAAUGAGUUUUAUCCAAAGGCAAUUAUUGCUAAUUGAAAACUUUUCCCAAUACUCCGCUAUGACAACUUGAAAUAUAGUCGGCAUUGGCAUUUUUUGACAGUCUCUACGGAGU